rnacentral:rRNA from 1 species
UUAAAUUAGGAUUAGAUACCCUAUUUUUAAAAAAUUAAAGAAAUAAUACUAAAAGAGUAAGUAAAAUUUUAUUGAAACUUAAAUAACUGGGCGGUAUUUUAGUUCAUUCAGAGGAAUCUGUUUAUUAAUUGAUAAUCCACGAAUAAAUUUACUUAAUUUAUUAUUUUGUAUAUCGUUGUUUAAAAAAUAUUUUUUAAUAAUUAAUAAUAUUUUAAAUUUUAAAUAAAAAAUUAAAUCAGAUCAAGAUGCAGAUUAUAAUUAAGAAUAUAAUGGAUUACAAUAAAUUUAUUUAUUAUGAAUUUUAAGUAGAAUAAUUUAAUUGAAAGUGGAUUUGUUUUGUAAUUUUAUUUAAAUUAAUAAGAUGAUUUAUAAUUAAAAUAUUGUACAUAUUGCCCCGGUCGCUUCAUGAGGAAAAAUAAAU